rnacentral:pre_miRNA from 7 species
UCAUUAUGAAUGAGGUAACCUAGACCAAAAAGGGCAUGCAUGUAUAAGACCCCCUUUCGGGGACCCCCACUCUAGUCUUGGGAGAGAGGGCACACCCAAAGAAACACGAGGAUCC